UAACAAGGAUUCCCCUAGUAACUGCGAGUGAAGCGGGAAAAGCUCAAAUUUAAAAUCUGGCGUCCUUUGGGCGUCCGAGUUGUAAUCUGGAGAAGCGUUUUCCGCGUUGGACCGUGUACAAGUCUCCUGGAACGGAGCGUCAUAAAGGGUGAGAAUCCCGUCCAUGACACGGACUACCAAUGCUUUGUGAUACGCUCUCGAAGAGUCGAGUUGUUUGGGAAUGCAGCUCAAAAUGGGUGGUAAAUUCCAUCUAAAGCUAAAUAUUGGCGAGAGACCGAUAGCGAACAAGUACCGUGAGGGAAAGAUGAAAAGCACUUUGGAAAGAGAGUUAAACAGUACGUGAAAUUGUUGAAAGGGAAACGCUUGAAGUCAGUCGCGUCUUGCGGAACUCAGCCUUACUUCGGUUUGGUGUACUUUCCGUUUGACGGGUCAACAUCAAUUUUGAUCGGUAGAAAAAGCUUGAGGAAAGGUAGCGUUGUUUUGGCGACGUGUCAUAGUCUUCUUGCGUAUAUAUCGGUUGGGAUUGAGGACCGCAGCACGCCUUUAAUGGCCGGGGGUUCGCCCUACGUAUCGUGCUUAGGAUGUUGGCAUAAUGGCUUUAAGCGACCCGUCUUGAAACACGGACCAAGGAGUCUAACAUGCUUGCGAGUGUUCGGGUGGAAAACCCUUGCGCGUAAUGAAAGUGAAAGUUGGGAACCUCCGCAAGGGGGUGCACCGACGCCCGGCCCUGAAGUUCUCUGACGGUGCUGCGGUAGAGCACGUAUGUUGGGACCCGAAAGAUGGUGAACUAUGCCUGAAUAGGGCGAAGCCAGAGGAAACUCUGGUGGAGGCUCGUAGCGAUUCUGACGUGCAAAUCGAUCGUCAAAUUUGGG
rnacentral:rRNA from 1 species